CGGCAAGCCUGACGAUGCGACGCCGUGUGAACGAAGAAGGCCUUCGGGUUGUAAAGUCUUUCGCCUGAGACAAGAGAUUCCGGUAAAUACCCGGAAGAUUUGAGGGUACCAGGUAAAGAAGCACCGGCUAACUCCGUGCCAGCAGCUGCGGUAAUACGGAGGGUGCAAGCAUUAAUCGGAUUUAUUGGGCGUAAAGGGCGCGUAGGCGGGAAGAUAAGUCAGGUGUGAAAUCUCGGGGCUCAACCUCGAGGCUGCACUUGAAACUGUUUUUCUUGAGGCUAGGCGGAGAAAACGGAAUUCCACAAGUAGCGGUGAAAUGCGUAGAUAUGUGGAAGAACACCGGUGGCGAAAGCGGUUUUCUAGCUUAGACCUGACGCUGAGGCGCGAAAGCAAGGGGAUCAAACAGGAUUAGAUACCCUGGUAGUCCUUGCCCUAAACGAUGUAUACUUGGUGUAACCGGACUCAACCCUGGUUGUGCCGUAGCUAACGCGUUAAGUAUACCGCCUGGGGAGUACGCUCGCAAGGGUG
rnacentral:rRNA from 1 species